GCGGUGGUGGCCGAGUGGUUAAGGCGUCUGACUCGCAAUCAGAUUCCCUCUGGAAGCAUAGGUUCGAGUCCUACCGACCGCA
rnacentral:tRNA from 1 species